GGACGAUACUGCGAGACACACGUCGCAGGGCCUCAGGGAACAGCUGUCAGGAGGCAGGAGACGGAGACAGCCCACGUCACCCAACAGAUCCUCUCUCUGGAAGGUGAGCAGGAACCGGCGCACGUGGUCCUUGCGCAGCUGAUCGAUGCUGCGGGCGUCAAUGGCCCGGCCCAGGAACUCGUCCACCUCAUCCUCAGGGUUCAGGGCAUCCUGAGCACCCCGGCUGAGGGCAGAGGACAUGGCUUCACCAGGUGCCUGACCACGGCCACGUGACAGAAACUACAGAGACAAUAGCCUCAACAAGAGAGGCAGAAGAGGGCAGGGGGAUACUGAGUGUUGAGGGAAACAAGAAACCAAGGCCCGGGUCCAGGUGCG